rnacentral:misc_RNA from 1 species
UACAGAGGGGGCAAGCGUUGUUCGGAAUUACUGGGCGUAAAGGGCGCGUAGGCGGCCUAUUAAGUCAGACGUGAAAUCCCUCGGCUCAACCGAGGAACUGCGUCUGAUACUGGUGGGCUUGAGUUCGGGAGAGGAAUGUGGAAUUCCAGGUGUAGCGGUGAAAUGCGUAGAUAUCUGGAGGAACACCGGUGGCGAAGGCGGCAUUCUGGACCGACACUGACGCUGAGGCGCGAAAGCGUGGGGAGCAAACAGG